rnacentral:rRNA from 1 species
GACGAACGCUGGCGGCGUGCUUAACACAUGCAAGUCGAACGGCAAGGCCCUGCUUUUGUGGGGUGCUCGAGUGGCGAACGGGUGAGUAACACGUGAGUAACCUGCCCUUGACUUUGGGAUAACUUCAGGAAACUGGGGCUACUACCGGAUAGGAGCUCCUGCUGCAUGGUGGGGGUUGGAAAGUUUCGGCGGUUGGGGAUGGACUCGCGGCUUAUCAGCUUGUUGGUGGGGUAGUGGCUUACCAAGGCUUUGACGGGUAGCCGGCCUGAGAGGGUGACCGGCCACAUUGGGACUGAGAUACGGCCCAGACUCCUACGGGAGGCAGCAGUGGGGAAUAUUGCACAAUGGGCGGAAGCCUGAUGCAGCAACGCCGCGUGCGGGAUGACGGCCUUCGGGUUGUAAACCGCUUUCGCCUGUGACGAAGCGUGAGUGACGGUAAUGGGUAAAGAAGCACCGGCUAACUACGUG